UCACUGUUUGGAACCCAUGGCUCGUGAGGACAUCACCAGCGGGUUACUGCAGGCUUGGACAGUGUGCGAGUCCAUUUUAGCGACUUACUUCUUUCUCUGGGUGCAUUAUCUUUGAGGGCCUGGCAUGCUCUGCUCCAUGGGCUGUGGAGCCGUGGGCUACCAAAGCCUCUGCAGAGACCCAUCUGUCACCUCUCAGGUUCACAGCAGGGCACUGCUCUGGACUGGGUCAAGGGCAGAGGGAAGAACCGUGGUUGGGGUUUCACCUACUGGAAAGGGUUUGGUUUGGUUUGUUGGUCAGGGGUUGAUUUUGUUUUUGAGAAGGGGUUUCUCGGGGUUGGGGAUUUAGCUCAGCAGUAGAGCGCUUGCCUAGCGAGCGCAAGGCCCUGGGUUUGGUCCCAGCUCCGGGGAAAAAAAAAGAAAAAA
rnacentral:lncRNA from 1 species